AGGGGGUACGGCUCCGUCUGGAUGAUCAACACGUCGCCGUUGUGAGUCUGCGACGGACACCUCAGCACGGUGAUCUAGCAACGACAAAUGGAGAGUAUACAGUGUACAACUGGGAAAAACAGUUUAGGAUAAACAAAGAAUCACUGUCUGUCUGAAUGGAUUAGCAGAUCAGAGAGACACUUUGGCGCCAUCCGGUGGAAUCUUUGAUUUGCCUUGAGUUUAAGAUGUCCUGUGUUGUUGGCCAUCCUUGAAUGCACCACAUGCACUGUCAAAAAGUGAAACAAAGUACGUUUCUGCUUCUUUCCCGAUGCACCCACUAAUAGCCUACUUGUCUAAUUUGCCAAUACACACAUUUUUGUGUGUAAAUGCCAAAAGGUGAGUUUAAUGACUUAAUAGCAUUUGCGUAAAGUGCUAUAGCGCAUAUUUGUUUGCCCACGUAUGACAUCGGUUUUUGCUAGCUCAUACCAUUGAUGAUGCUCAUGUGUUCAAUAUUGACUACUGAAUAGUCGUUUAUGAUUGUACAUGCUAGAAACCUCUUUUUCGCUAUUCCUCACAGAGCUCUAUCCCUAUUCCCCACCAAUAAUGGGGGUUCAUUGUAUUUUCAUUUCCAGGAAACUUGGGGAGGACGUACCGUGUUUGGAACAUAAUUUUUGUCAAAAUUCAGCUCCAGGCCAAGUUAUCUGGGCGAAAAGAAGACCCUGCAAUGUAGUACAGGAACCUUUGGGAGGGCAAUGGGAAGUAUUGUCUAAAAUGUAGUUCCAGGGUCAACAGAAGACCCUGCAAGAAACUGAGGUGGUGUCUGCAGCUCUGAACAUAUCUGAUUGGUACCUUUUCAUUCCAGGGAGUCCAAGUACGAAGACCUAAAUGUUCUAAGAAAUUUAAGUUGAAAAUGUG